rnacentral:rRNA from 1 species
GCGAGUCGAGAGGGUUCGGCCCUCGGCAGACUGCUCAGUAACACGUAGAUAACCUAACCUUAGGUGGAAGAUAACCUCGGGAAACUGAGAAUAAUAUUCCAUAGAUCUAGGAUGCUGGAAUGCAUCUAGAUUGAAAGUUCCGACGCCUAAGGAUGGGUCUGCGGACUAUCAGGUUGUAGUCAGGGUAAAGACCUGACUAGCCUACGACGGAUAUGGGUUGUGAGAGCAAUAGCCCAGAGACGAUAUCUGAGACACGAUAUCGGGCCCUACGGGGCGCAGCAGGCGCGAAAUCUUCACAAUGUGCGAAAGCACGAUGAGGGGAUCCCAAGUGCUGGCACGUAAGUGUCAGCUGUUUCUUAGUCUAAAAAACUGAGAGAGUAAGGGCUGGGUAAGACGGGUGCCAGCCGCCGCGGUAAUACCUGCAGCUCAAGUGGUGGCCGCUAUUAUUGGGCCUAAAACGUCCGUAGCCUGUUUAGUAAAUGCUUGGGUAAAUUGUGUAGCUUAACUAUACGAAUACCGGGUAGACUGCUAAACUUGGGACCGGGAGAGGCUAGAGGUACUCCUGGGGUAGAGGUGAAAUUCUGUAAUCCUAGGGGGACCACCAGUGGCGAAGGCGUCUAGCUAGAACGGGUCUGACGGUGAGGGACGAAGCCCUGGGGCGCAAACCGGAUUAGAUACCCGGGUAGUCCAGGGUGUAAACGCUGCUUGCUUGAUGUUAGUCGGGCUCCGAGCCCG